rnacentral:rRNA from 1 species
GUAGGGAAUCUUGCGCAAUGGGCGAAAGCCUGACGCAGCCAUGCCGCGUGAAUGAUGAAGGUCUUAGGAUUGUAAAAUUCUUUCACCGGGGACGAUAAUGACGGUACCCGGAGAAGAAGCCCCGGCUAACUUCGUGCCAGCAGCCGCGGUAAUACGAAGGGGGCUAGCGUUGCUCGGAAUUACUGGGCGUAAAGGGAGCGUAGGCGGAUAGUUUAGUCAGAGGUGAAAGCCCAGGGCUCAACCUUGGAAUUGCCUUUGAUACUGGCUAUCUUGAGUAUGGAAGAGGUAUGUGGAACUCCGAGUGUAGAGGUGAAAUUCGUAGAUAUUCGGAAGAACACCAGUGGCGAAGGCGACAUACUGGUCCAUUACUGACGCUGAGGCUCGAAAGCGUGGGGAGCAAACAGGAUUAGAAACCCGUGUGUCC